rnacentral:tRNA from 2 species
GGGCGAUUAGCUCAGUUGGGAGAGCGUCACGUUUACACCGUGAAUGUCGGCGGUUCGAGCCCGUCAUCGCCCACCA